AACGAACGCUGGCGGCAGGCUUAACACAUGCAAGUCGAGCGCCCCGCAAGGGGAGCGGCAGACGGGUGAGUAACGCGUGGGAAUCUACCGAGCCCUGCGGAAUAGCUCCGGGAAACUGGAAUUAAUACCGCAUACGCCCUACGGGGGAAAGAUUUAUCGGGGUUUGAUGAGCCCGCGUUGGAUUAGCUAGUUGGUGGGGUAAUGGCCUACCAAGGCGACGAUCCAUAGCUGGUCUGAGAGGAUGAUCAGCCACAUUGGGACUGAGACACGGCCCAAACUCCUACGGGAGGCAGCAGUGGGGAAUAUUGGACAAUGGGGGCAACCCUGAUCCAGCCAUGCCGCGUGAGUGAUGAAGGCCUUAGGGUUGUAAAGCUCUUUCACCGGUGAAGAUAAUGACGGUAACCGGAGAAGAAGCCCCGGCUAACUUCGUGCCAGCAGCCGCAGUAAAAC
rnacentral:rRNA from 1 species